rnacentral:rRNA from 1 species
CCUACGGGAGGCAGCAGUAGGGAAUAUUGGACAAUGGGGGCAACCCUGAUCCAGCAAUGCCGCGUGAGUGAUGAAGGCCUUAGGGUUGUAAAGCUCUUUUACCCGAGAUGAUAAUGACAGUAUCGGGAGAAUAAGCUCCGGCUAACUCCGUGCCAGCAGCCGCGGU